GCGCACCAGGCGCGAAACCUCCGCAAUGCGGGCAACCGCGACGGGGGGACCCCCAGUGCCGUGGCAUCGCCACGGCUUUUCCGGAGUGUAAAAAGCUCCGGGAAUAAGGGCUGGGCAAGGCCGGUGGCAGCCGCCGCGGUAAUACCGGCGGCCCGAGUGGUGGCCGCUAGUUAUUGGGCCUAAAGCGUCCGUAGCCGGGCCUGUAAGUCCCUGGCGAAAUCCACGGCUCAACCGUGGGGCUUGCUGGGGAUACUGCAGGCCUUGGGACCGGGAGAGGCCGGGGGGUACCCCUGGGGGUAGGGGUGAAAUCCUAUAAUCCCAGGGGGACCGUCAGUGGCGAAGGCGCCCGG
rnacentral:rRNA from 1 species